AGAAGAAGAUAGUUGACAAAUAUACCUUUCAAAAUGGUGAAAUCCAUCUCAAACUUGUUCCAAUUUUUUGUUGUUCUAGUUUUGGUUGCAGCUGUUUGGAACAUGGGAUUACAACAAGUGGAUUGUGAAAAGAUAUGUGUAUCACCUAUGGGAGAAUGUGGUCCAGCCGGAGAUUGUGCUGAAAGGUGUAGAGUCUCAUAUGCUGGUGGGGAAGGUUCCUGCACUCUUGGCCUAUGUAGUUGUACUCAUAGAUGUGAUUGAAGGGCUUUAAAU